UACGAAGGGGGCGAGCGUUGUUCGGAUUUACUGGGCGUAAAGGGCGCGCAGGCGGCGCAUUUUGUCAGGCGUGAAAGCCCCGGGCUUAACCUGGGAACUGCGUUUGAUACGGAUGGGCUAGAGUUCGGGAGAGGAGAGUGGAAUUCCCAGUGUAGAGGUGAAAUGCGCAGAUAUCAGGAGGAACACCAAUGGCGAAGGCAGCUCGCUGGGACGUGACUGACGCUGAGACGCGAAAGCGUGGGGAGCAAACAGG
rnacentral:rRNA from 1 species